CCUGGCGGCACUCGCGCGGUGGUCCCACCUGACCCCAUGCCGAACUCAGAAGUGAAACGCCGUAGCGCCGAUGGUAGUGUGGGGUCUCCCCAUGUGAGAGU
rnacentral:rRNA from 1 species